rnacentral:rRNA from 1 species
AUACGGAGGGUGCAAGCGUUAUUCGGAAUCACUGGGCGUAAAGGACGCGUAGGCGGGUUGGCAAGUCAGAUGUGAAAUCCUACAGCUUAACUGUAGAACUGCAUUUGAAACUGCUAACCUAGAGUAUGGGAGGGGGAGAUGGAAUUAGUGGUGUAGGGGAAAAAUCCGUAGAUAUCACUAGGAAUACCGAAAGCGAAGGCGAUCUCCUGGAACAUAACUGACGCUAAGGCGUGAAAGCGUGGGGAGCAAACAGGAUUAGAAACCCCAGUAGUCC